UGAGGAAUAUUGGUCAAUGGCCGAGAGGCUGAACCAGCCAAAUCGCGUGAAGGAAGACGGUAUUAUGUAUUGUAAACUUCUUUUGUAAGGGAAUAAAGUGUAGGACGCGUUCCUGUUUUGUAUGUACCUUACGAAUAAGCAUCGGCUAACUCCGUGCCAGCAGCCGCGGUAAUACGGAGGAUGCGAGCGUUAUCCGGAUUUAUUGGGUUUAAAGGGUGCGUAGGUUGGGGGAUAAGUCAGCGGUGAAAAUUUUCUGCUUAACAGGGACACUGCCGUUGAAACUGUUUCUCUUGAGUAUAAACGAGGCAGGCGGAAUUCGUAGUGUAGCGGUGAAAUGCAUAGAUAUUACGAAGAACCCCGAUAGCGCAGGCAGCUUGCCAGGCUAUAACUGACACUGAAGCACGAAAGUGUGGGAAUCAAACAGGAUUAGAUACCCUGGUAGUCCACACAGUAAACGAUGAUUACUCGCUGUUUGCGAUAUAAAGUAAGCGGCCCAGCGAAAGCGAUAAGUAAUCCACCU
rnacentral:rRNA from 1 species